CAAUGAAAUAUCGCAGCCGUAAACGGCUGCGAUGUGAAAUAUUGAGCCUACGGCUCAAUGUGAAAUAUUUCCCUUCGGGAAAUGUGAAAUAUUUU
rnacentral:sRNA from 1 species